CGCUCUACACCCCUAUCCACGGCAGCACACAGGCAACCAACGAGUAAGAAAUACAAACAAUAGCCAAAAUACCACUAGUGAGAACCGAACUUGCCAAAAUACCACUAUAAAAAGGCAACUUGCCAAUAUACAACUAGUGCCUAACUGGAACUAACACCAUCCAAACAAGACUUAUAUGCCCUUGCAACAUUUCAGGAGCAAAUUGACAUGAAAACAACAUCGUCUCAACAUGAUAUCACUUUGCGUUAUUCAACAACACAAUAUUGUAA
rnacentral:lncRNA from 1 species